rnacentral:rRNA from 1 species
AGUGAACGCUGGCGGUAGGCCUAACACAUGCAAGUCGAACGGCAGCACAGUAAGAGCUUGCUCUUACGGGUGGCGAGUGGCGGACGGGUGAGGAAUACAUCGGAAUCUACUUUUUCGUGGGGGAUAACGUAGGGAAACUUACGCUAAUACCGCAUACGACCUACGGGUGAAAUCAGGGGAUCUUCGGACCUUGCGCGAUUGAAUGAGCCGAUGUCGGAUUAGCUAGUUGGCGGGGUAAAGGCCCACCAAGGCGACGAUCCGUAGCUGGUCUGAGAGGAUGAUCGGCCACACUGGAACUGAGACACGGUCCAGACUCCUACGGGAGGCAGCAGUGGGGAAUAUUGGACAAUGGGCGCAAGCCUGAUCCAGCCAUACCGCGUGGGUGAAGAAGGCCUUCGGGUUGUAAAGCCCUUUUGUUGGGAAAGAAAAGCAGCAGGUUAAUACCCCGAUGUUCUGACGGUACCCAAAGAAUAAGCACCGGCUAACUUCGUG